UAAAAGUCAUAAAUUAAUUAUAAAAAAAAAGUUAAGACCAUAAAUAAUAUUUGUCUAAAAAUACAAAAAAAAAUACAUCCAAAUAUAACUUUCUGGGUAUGUCUAAACCCAUGCCUUCUCCUCCGCAUGUAUUGCACGACAUUCUGUAACUCGAUAAUCAUGUUCUUUACGAAGGCCAACUAGGGAUUGUCAUCCUCAAAGAGUCAUGCCUCUAUGUCCG
rnacentral:lncRNA from 1 species